UGCAUGAGUUAUUUGGGAUGUACUACUUCUUUACAUUUAAUCAUAAAUUCGAAUUCAAGCUUGAAAGAGAUUCAUAUUAAAAGUGACCUCAUAAACAAGCGGUUCAACCUAAAUUUAAUUGGGGCUUGAAUUUGGACUGAACAAUUUUGGAUGUCAGUUUUAGGAAACUAUGAUUUCUUCGUGUUUUAAUAGUGUUUGGAGUGAUUUUUAUAUUAGAAUUGGUUUAUUAAUUGCAUUUUGGACUCAAUACGUAGAUGAAAGAUAUUUUUAUAUCGUUUCAAAUACUUUAACAGUAUUUUAGGCCCUUCAGGCAAAUUACUAUUGCUAGCAUCCGUAGUCCAGUGAAUACCCCAAUAAAUUCAUCUUCAAUUGCUCUAGGAUCUGUAAGGUUGGUAUUAUUAUCAGUGUAAAUAGAAAAUGAUAAUACGACUACAUCUUAUCUUCGAUCAAGCAUGGAAAUACUUAGAAUUAGCUUUCCCACAUUUUAUCCAAGUAGCUCUAGACUUUUGCCUUAACACCUGCUCCUCCACCCUGCUCCACUCCUCAACUUCCAAUAAUAACAUUUUUUCUUGAUCAAACACCAUUUGAUUCUUCAUAUAUAUAUAUAUAUAUAUAUGAAAACCCUCAACCCGGUGAAGUGGCACAACCACAUAAAAUAAUUCCCUUUUAUUUUAACUUGUUCCCAAAAAUACCUUUCCCCUCCUCCCAUAAUGCCACCUUCAUAUGCAACGUAACUCUUCCUAACAUAAGCAAUGAAAGCCUCUUGGUUCUUCACAGAAUCUUCCUCCAUUUUCCAAAACAACUUUCGUACAACAACUUCUUCGACAGGAUUUUUUAGUUUGCACACGUUGCCGUUAAAUUUGUGUAAAUCGUCGAUGUUCUUCAUGCUCCUUCCAAACAAUAUUUCCUUCAGUACCUUCCUCGACUGAAUUUGAAAGUUCUCCUAUCAUGUCGUUAUCGUUGCGCAGAAAACCGCCCGACAUCUCUACCAAACAUUCAGUGUCAGCAGAAUGUCGACCCAAGUCUCCAAGAACCAUCUAGGAUGAGUCUUUGACGUUGCGCCCACAGCGCCGGCCUCACUGCAUCCAGGUACAUGGUUGACAGCUUGCACUCACAUUGUUGUAAUCCUGUUCCAUCUUGUCAUUCUAUUUUAACCCAAUUGAUUCAAUGGUAUAAGGAUACAUUUGUUUUUAUAUAUGCGCAAAUGUCAUGAAUGAACCUGUACGCUAGCAUUAAUAAUAAAAA